rnacentral:rRNA from 1 species
GCAAGUUGAAUGCUUAGUUUACUAAGCAUGGCAAACGGGAGAGUAACACAUUGGUAAUCUACCCUAAGGACGAGAAUAACCCUGCGAAAGCGGGAAUAAUACUCGAUGGCAGUAAGAGACAUAAGUCUUCUUACUUAAAGCCCCGACGCCUUAGGAGGAGCCUAUGACUUAUCAGCUUGUUGGUGGGGUAAAAGCCCACCAAGGCUACGACGAGUAGCGGGUGUGAGAGCAUGACC